UAAACACUUGUUUAAUAGAUUUUUAAUACAUCCAUCUACAGAGCCUCGCUGGGUGUUCUUUGCAGUUGACCUUUAAUACCUUAUGUGGGUCUGCCCGAAAACUAAUUGUUUUUACAUUAAUCAGAUUUUAAAAAUACUAAGUGUUCCUAUCAAAUAUACACAACACUUAGAUGUGGAUUAUUCCUAAAAACAGGCAGUGCAUGAGCACUGGUGAGGGGCACUGUGACUGCAUUGAGUGCUUGCCACUGUGAGGUGAAUAAAGUCUGUACUGGCUCCUGGUUGCAACAUAAAAUAACACAGUGGCUAUUUUGUAUUAGGAGAUGUCCUGGACUCACAAAGAAACGCAGGGCUAUGGAAUGAAGGUAAAUAUAAAAUACUACAAGCGGGAGUCACAGAUACAUUGUCUGUGAAAGUGAAACUUAGGAGCUUUGUGAGUCCUGUUGUAACGCUUUUAGACACCUUUAUAUGUCAAGGGACCAAAGUCACAUUUUCUACCGAUUAGAUUCCUGAUCAUUCAGGGGUUACCAAGAUUCUGCUACCCACUGUAGUUAAUAAACAAAAAGCAAACUGGUCUCUGUUCUAUCUCAUGCACUCAGGCACAACUUUUCCAGAUUUAAAGAAAAAGAAAAAAGAAAAGAAAAAAAAGCCCUGUCUCUACACCUCCAUUCCCAGGGCAAGCUCACUCUCUGGCACCAAGCUCUCUGGGGUGAUUUUUCUUCUAGAAGAGUCCACUGGGACAGGUAAGGAGUAGGAGGCAGGGAGUCCAGUUCUGGGACGGGGAGUCCGUGAUGAAAAGUGAAGAGAGAGGGACGGGGCCCAUGCCGUGUGUUUCUCCCUGGUUUCUCAGACAGUUCCUGGGCCAAGACUCAGGGAGACAUUGAGACAGAGCGCUUGGUACAGGAGUAGCGGGGUCAGGGCGAAGUCCCAGAGCCCCAGGUAUGGCUCUCAGAAUCUCAGGCUCAGAAAGCGUGUGUGGACUGGGGAGGCCCAGCGUUGGGGAUUCCCCAUCUCCGAAGGGUUUCUCUUCUCCCUCUCUCAACCUGCGUCUGGUCCUUCUUCCUGGAUACUCACCGGGCGGCCCCAGUUCUCACUCCUAUUGAGUGUCGGGUUUCUAGAGAAGUCAAUCAAUGUAGCCACGGUCCCGGUUCUAGAGUUCCCACGCACCCACCAGGACUCCGAUUCUCCCCAGUCGCCAAGGAUGGGGUCAUGGCGCCCCGGACCCUCCUUCUGCUGCUCUUGGGAGCCCUGGCCCUGACCCAGACUUGUGCGGGCUUCCACUCCUUGAGGUAUUUCCACACCGCCACGUCCCGGCCCGGCCGCGGGAUGCCCCCGCUUCAUCUCCAUGGGCUAAGUGGACGACACGCAGUUCGUGCGGUUAGACAGCGACGCCGCAAGUCCUAGGAUGGAGCCGCGGGCGCCGUGGAUGGAGCAGGAGGGGCCGGAAUAUUGGGAGGAGAAGACAGGGACCGCCAAGACCAACGCACAACCUGUCAGGGCAGCAGGAUUGAGUCACACUCGUGGCUACUACAACCAGAGCGAGUCCUGGUCUCACACCCUCCAGUGGAUGAUUGGUUGCGACCUGGGGCCCGACAGGCGCCUCCUCUGCAGGUGUGAACAGUUCGCCUAAGAUGGCAAGGAUUACCUCGCCCUGAACGAGGACUUGUGCUCCUGAACCGUAGUGGACACUGUGGCUCAGAUCUCCAAGCGCAAGUGUGAGGCGGCCAAAGCGACUGAACGAAGGAGAGCCUACCUGGAGGGCACGUGAGUGGAGUGGCUCCACAGAUACCUGGAGAAUGGGAAGGAGAUGCUGCAGCGUGCGGACCCCCCUAAUUCACACGUGACCCACCAUCCUGUCUUUGACUAUGAGGCCACCCUGAGGUGCUGAGCCCUGGGCUUCUACCCUGCCGAGAUCACACUGACCUGGCAGCGAGAUGGGGAGAACCAGACCCAGGACACGGAGCUUGUGGAGACCAGGCCUGCAGGGAACGGAAUCUUCCAGAAGUGGGCAGCUGUGGUGGUGCAUUCUGGAGAGGAGCAGAGAUAUACCUGCCAUGUGCAGCAUCAGGGACUGCCUGAGCCCCUCACCCUGAGAUGGGAGUGGUCUUCUCAGUCCACCAUCUCCAUCGUGGGCAUCAUUGCUGGCCUGGUUCUCCUUGGAGCUGUGGUCACUGGAGCUGUGGUUACUGCUGUGAUGUGGAGGAGGAAGAGCUCAGAUAGAAAAGGAGGAAGCUACUCUCAGGCUGCAAGCAGUGACAGUGCCCAGGGCUCUGAUGUGUCUCUCAUGGCUUGUAAAGUGUGAGACAGCUGCCUUGUGUGGGACUGAGUGGCAAGAUUUGUUCACGCCUUCUCUUUGCGACUUCAAGAACCCUGGCUUGCUUUCUGCAAAGGCACCUGAAUGUGUCUGUGUUCCUGUAGGCAUAAUGUGAGUAGAUGGGGAGAUCACCCCACCCCCAUGUUCACCAUGACCCUCUUCCCCAUGCCGACCUGUGCUCCCUCCCCAAUCAUCUUUCCUGCUCCAGAGAGGUGGGGCUGAGAUGUCUCCAUCCCUGUCUCAACUUUAUAUGCACUGAGCUGUAACUUCUUACUUCCCUAUUGAAAUUAGAAUCUGAGUAUAAAUUUA